rfam:Trichobilharzia regenti genome assembly, scaffold: TRE_scaffold0062674
GUACUGAUGAAGAGUCCCAAACCAGGACGAAGCAGCUGUACAGUAC